UCGGUACCCUCAUCUCUUGCCCUGACUUCUGCCAUCACCCCACGCUGGUCUUCUUCGACACUGCCGCUUCCUUGGGUCCCCAUGACAACCCCACCCCAGGGCGGGCCCCCUCGGCGUCCUCCUGGCCCUUGCCUGGGCCUGCCAGACACACUUGCCCAGCAAGUGACGGCUCCACCUGCCUUUCGGCCGCCACCCUCCCAGCUCCCAAGAAUAGGAUGAGGGCCCAAUCCCGGGAGAGGGCAAGACCCUCAUCGGCAGGUGACGUGGGGCGGGGCAGCCGACGCAGAGCUGGGGAGGUUCCAAUCCAAACCUCAAAGAGCGUAGUGGGGGGCCAAGUACGACCCCCAAAUGGGGUGCGGCCGUCCCAUCCCCUCUCUGGCCGAGGGACAGGUACAGGGGACGCGAAGGAACUCGUUUGUUGUCACAAACAACGACGCGUCGUGGCGCCUAUAUAAAGGAUCCCACAAGAUUCUGAUAGUGGUGAUGUGCUGACCACAGUUCAAGAAACUGAGAGGAAAAAUAUCGAGAUAUAAAGUCCAUAGGAUAUGCUACACAUCAUCAUCAUGAAGCCUUUCCUCAGCUUGAUAAUGUAAUUUGUGCAUACAGUGGGCAAGGGUUAUGAUCCAAAUUCUAUAUUUUCUAUACUGGCAAAUGCUGAGGAAAUGUCAAGUUAGAAAUUUACUUUUUUUAACCUCAAAAGGUUCACUGGAUUCUGGUUUCAUUGAUGGGUCAGAACUAAAAUCUAUCAUAUUUUACAAGGGACUCGUUCUCCAGAAAUACUGCUGCGUCUGCUUCUACUGAUACCCACGAGAUCCCAACAAGAACAUAUCUGGCCCCUUAUUCUGCCACUGACUAUGUUUCCCAGGAGGGAUUAGAGGAGAUGAAGGCAAUGUGUGAUAGGCCAAAUAAUAGCCCUGCAAAUAUGUUCACACUCUAACCCCUGCAACCUAUAACUAUGUUACCUCACAUGAUAAAAGGACUUAACAGAUAUAAUUAAUGCUAAGGACCUUGAGAUGGGUAGAUUAUCCCAGAUUAUCUACGUGGGCCUAAUGAAAUCAUAGGAAUCCUUAAAACUAGAGUAGGAAGGCAGAAGUAUUGCUGACUUUGAAGAUGGAGGAAGGGUUCAUGAGCCAAGGCAAGCAAGUGGAAGAACUCUAGAAGCUGGGAAGAACCCUCAGCUGAGAGCCAAUAAGGAAAUGGAGUUAUCAGUCCCACAACCUCAAGGGGCCAAUUCUGCCAAUGAUCUAAAUGAGCAAGGAAAUAGGUUCUUUUCUACAGACUCCAGGAAGCAGCCCAUCCCUGCUGGCAGCUUGAUUUUACCUGGGGAGACCAAUGUUAGACUUCUAGCCUACAGAACUAUAGGAUAGAAAUUUUAAGCUGCUAAAUGUGAAUUUGUUAGGGCUUCAAGAAAAACAAAAUAAUACAUCACACUGGGAUGUGGAAAAAUAAUGGAAGGAACAGAAGGGUCAUGUCUUUCAGCUCCUUGAUAUCCAAGAUUUCUAAGCAGAAGAUCAUUCAGAUCAAGAUAAACAUGCAAAGAGAAAAUGAAUGUAAUUUGACUUGUUCUGAGAGAAAACUCUCAGUUAUGCCCAACUUCUAAGUAUUCAUUGAAUGAACCAAACUGAAUAAAGAAAAUUUUGGAAUUAAAGACUCAGAAAAAUGA